rnacentral:rRNA from 1 species
GGUGCUUGCACCUGAUUGAUUUUGGUCGCCAACGAGUGGCGGACGGGUGAGUAACACGUAGGUAACCUGCCCAGAAGCGGGGGACAACAUUUGGAAACAGAUGCUAAUACCGCAUAACAACGUUGUUCGCAUGAACAACGCUUAAAAGAUGGCUUCUCGCUAUCACUUCUGGAUGGACCUGCGGUGCAUUAGCUUGUUGGUGGGGUAACGGCCUACCAAGGCGAUGAUGCAUAGCCGAGUUGAGAGACUGAUCGGCCACAAUGGGACUGAGACACGGCCCAUACUCCUACGGGAGGCAGCAGUAGGGAAUCUUCCACAAUGGGCGCAAGCCUGAUGGAGCAACACCGCGUGAGUGAAGAAGGGUUUCGGCUCGUAAAGCUCUGUUGUUAAAGAAGAACACGUAUGAGAGUAACUGUUCAUACGUUGACGGUAUUUAACCAGAAAGUCACGGCUAACUACGUGCCAGCAGCCGCGGUAAUACGUAGGUGGCAAGCGUUAUCCGGAUUUAUUGGGCGUAAAGAGAGUGCAGGCGGUUUUCUAAGUCUGAUGUGAAAGCCUUCGGCUUAACCGGAGAAGUGCAUCGGAAACUGGAUAACUUGAGUGCAGAAGAGGGUAGUGGAACUCCAUGUGUAGCGGUGGAAUGCGUAGAUAUAUGGAAGAACACCAGUGGCGAAGGCGGCUACCUGGUCUGCAACUGACGCUGAGACUCGAAAGCAUGGGUAGCGAACAGGAUUAGAUACCCUGGUAGUC